UGCAGAGUCGAGAGCUCUGUUCAUCCAAGCUGGAUAUACAGCAUCAAUGAAAAAUUAACCUUCGUGGUUCAUUACUGCAGCAUAACCUAGCUAAGGUUGACUAAGACAGGUGAACAUGUUUAAAUUGAAUAUUAAAAUCUGAGAAGGGUUUCCUUGUGGAUAAAAGGCAGUGCCCCUUACCAGCAGGAUCACAGACACAAGUAUUCCAUCCACUAUCUUGGACCAGAAGUGAGGACUGUCAUUAUCUUUGCAUGAAAAUUUGGGAGGAUGACUGAAGUUCUUAUCCAUAUGAAAGCCAAGAUUGAGUCCUACUGCAUGAGUUAGCUUUACCUGUGCUCCCAAUAGCUGGAGGAGGUCCACAACCGCUGAAAAAGUGGCCUAGUGACAGAAGUGACUCACCCACUGACAUAAACAAGACCAUGGUAACACGAGUUGGUAUUGAAUGAAUGGAAGUCAGUGACCCUCCUCACAUCACAGAUGAGGAAUCAAAACUGAGAGGAGAGGGCCCUCACUCAGAGUCAUGGGACAAGACCUGUACCAGGUAUACAAUCAAGUUCUCUGCUAGAGACUAAGUUCUUUUUUGUAUUCUGUUCAAAAUUUAAUAAAUCAGUUUACCUUGGAUGCUUCAGAGAUGCACGCUGCCUGCAUGUUUGCACUGCCUGGGAAAGACAGGAGAAAGGCCUUUGCCUGGUUCCUGUUCUAAAAGAGAAAAUGAAGCUGAGAUGUUAACAGACAUCCCCAAGGCCUAAGUGGUUGAUGGAUCCAGUCAAAGGUAGCCUCUCGCUCUGAAUCUGUAUUUUCAGUUAUAACCAUAAAGCACAUAGGGACCCAAACUUAGAGAAUAAUAUUAAGUAACCAUAAUAUCUUUUGUAUUAUUCCUAUUUAUUAAAAACACCUACAGUGUUUGAGUGUUAAGCCUGUUUGUUGUCUAGAUGGAUCUUUUGAUGAUGUUUAGAAAACGCCCAUCUAUUACAAGAUUAACUAAUUACAGUUCAUUAGAAUGAAAGUAUUAAAAACAUCUGAAGAGAUCAUAUGAUUUCUCUGUUAUUUCAGUUACAAGUGUGAAAUAUGAAUGGCCUUCCAACUAUCAAUCCUCUCUAUACUUCCAGGUUAAUACUUCUUGGUCAUGGCGGGUUACUUUUUAAAAAUUUUUUGUUUUAAUUUUUUAUUUUGAAAUUAUUAUAGAUUCACAGGAAGUUACAAAAGUAGUACAAAAAGUGGUCCCAGGUUCAUUCACCUAGUAUCGCCCAGUGGUUCCAUCUUACUUAACUAUAGGAUAAUACCAAAAUCAGGAAAGUUGCCCUUGAUACAAUGUGUACAAGUUGUUCUCUCUCUUUAUAUACUUCCCCAAUAUUUUUUGGUGAUUUUUGUUGUUGUUGUUGUAAAGUAUACCUAACAAAAAUGAUCAUUUUAGCCAUUUGUAAAUUGUACAAUUCAGCAGCAUUAAAUACAUUCCCAAUGUCAUAUGACCGUCACUACCAGCCAUUUCCAGAACUUUUUCAUUAUCCCAAACAGAAGCUCUGUACCCAUUAAACAAUAACCCUUCAUUUCUCCCUUCCCACAGCCCCCAGCAACCAUUAUUCUAUUUUCUGUCUCAGUGGAUUUAUCUA